rnacentral:rRNA from 1 species
AUCCUGGCUCAGAUUGAACGCUGGCGGCAGGCCUAACACAUGCAAGUCGAAUGGGUAACAGGAAACAGCUUGCUGUUUCGCUGACGAGUGGCGGACGGGUGAGUAAUGUCUGGGAAACUGCCUGAUGGAGGGGGAUAACUACUGGAAACGGUAGCUAAUACCGCAUAACGUCGCAAGACCAAAGAGGGGGACCUUCGGGCCUCUUGCCAUCAGAUGUGCCCAGAUGGGAUUAGCUAGUAGGUGGGGUAACGGCUCACCUAGGCGACGAUCCCUAGCUGGUCUGAGAGGAUGACCAGCCACACUGGAACUGAGACACGGUCCAGACUCCUACGGGAGGCAGCAGUGGGGAAUAUUGCACAAUGGGCGCAAGCCUGAUGCAGCCAUGCCGCGUGUAUGAAGAAGGCCUUCGGGUUGUAAAGUACUUUCAGCGGGGAGGAAGGGAGUAAAGUUAAUACCUUUGCUCAUUGACGUUACCCGCAGAAGAAGCACCGGCUAACUCCGUG